rnacentral:rRNA from 1 species
CCUACGGGAGGCUGCAGUGGGGAAUAUUGCACAAUGGGGGAAACCCUGAUGCAGCGACGCCGCGUGAGUGAAGAAGUAAUUCGUUAUGUAAAGCUCUAUCAGCAGGGAAGAAAAUGACGGUACCUGAGUAAGAAGCCCCGGCUAACUACGUGACAGCAGCCGCGGUGAUACGUAGGGGGCAAGCGUUAUCCGGAUUUACUGGGUGUAAAGGGAGCGUAGACGGUGCGCCAAGUCUGGAGUGAAAUGCCGGAGCUUAACUGCGGAACUGCUUUGGAAACUGGCGAACUAGAGUGCGGGAGGGGUAAGCGGAAUUCCUAGUGUAGCGGUGAAAUGCGUAGAUAUUAGGAGGAACACCGGUGGCGAAGGCGGCUUACUGGACCGUAACUGACGUUGAGGCUCGAAAGCGUGGGGAGCAAACAGGAUUAGAUACCCCGGUAGUC